GAUGUGGCUCAGUUGGUAGAGUGCUUGCCUAGCAUGCAGGAAGCCUUCCUUGGUUUGAUUCCCAGCACACAUCA
rnacentral:tRNA from 1 species